AUUCCGUGAUGAGGGCACUUCUGUAAUAACUCUUUGUACCUUUCCCAUGCCUCAUACAAUGACUCAUCAUCCAUUUGUUGGAAAGCAGAGAUCUCGUUCCUCAACUU
rfam:Gossypium raimondii Chr05_contig_545, whole genome shotgun sequence.